UACUGUGAUGGAAAAACGGUA
ensembl:piRNA 21ur-4407 ncRNA